rnacentral:rRNA from 1 species
AACGAACGCUGGCGGCAGGCCUAACACAUGCAAGUCGAGCGAGGACUUCGGUCCUAGCGGCGGACGGGUGAGUAACGCGUGGGAACGUGCCCUUUGCUUCGGAAUAGCCCUGGGAAACUGGGAGUAAUACCGGAUGAGCCCUUUGGGGGAAAGAUUUAUCGGCGAAGGAUCGGCCCGCGUUGGAUUAAGUAGUUGGUGGGGUAAUGGCCUACCAAGCCGACGAUCCAUAGCUGGUUUGAGAGGAUGAUCAGCCACACUGGGACUGAGACACGGCCCAGACUCCUACGGGAGGCAGCAGUGGGGAAUCUUAGACAAUGGGGGAAACCCUGAUCUAGCCAUGCCGCGUGAGCGAUGAAGGCCUUAGGGUUGUAAAGCUCUUUCAGCUGGGAAGAUAAUGACGGUACCAGCAGAAGAAGCCCCGGCUAACUCCGUG